AGAGAGGCACUGCACUAAUAAAUGUGGAAGAAUGCCAGCUCUGUGGAAAUAUUGACAGGUCUGGUGUAAAAUUCAGUUUUUCCAAUACCACUCCAACUAAACAGAAUGAAUGGAACAUUAGACUCUCAGGGCCUGUGGCUGCAGGUACAUCACUCACUGAACACCUUCCCAGCUAUGCAGCUAAGGGGCGAAGGCCGAUGUUCUGCUUAAAAUCACAAGCCUACCAGCACUUCUUCUGCAGCAGUUCUUCCUCUACUCCCCGGUUACUUACGUUGAAGAGGAGCAGUUUCCAGCCAUGUUCUGUGUGCAGAAGAUGUGGUAGGGACUGCAGGUUCUCUCUGCAUUAUUUUUUGCUGAGAUGAAUUUACCCACCAUGCCAUGCUGACCACCCUUUGAUGAGAGCUGUCCUGCCAUCACCUAGCAGUCUGAGCACAACAAACCAUGCAACAGCGAUACAGAACCCUAUGACAAAGUUGUUCUCACUCGAGGAUGGUGUUUCAUAUGGUGCAUUUGUUUCCUGGUGAAUCUGCGUGCUCUGCUCCCUCUGCAAUAUUCAUUAACACAGGGCCUUUCUCAACAGCUGUGUAUGUGCCACAAGGCAUAAGACGUUGCUCUCCAUUAAGAGUGAAAGCAGAACAAAGCAGAGGACAGGAGAUGCAAAGGGAAGGAGGUGUAUAGAAGAUUUGUUGUUGCUCCUGGUGUAAAAUAACAAAGCCAGCUCUUCCAUCAGAUGAACAGCAGCAUAAACUUUCCCUUCCCCUGCAAGUCAGGAUCUCUGUGCAUAGUCCAACUACCCAACAACACCAAACGGCGCUUUAUUCCUCCUUUUAAGAACCACCAUUUAAAUGAAUUAUCAGAAUUAUUACAGAAUCAACGACUUCAGUCAAACCUUCUGGCACCCACUGAUCUGUGUAAGAAUGUGUAUUUGGCCCCACAUGAAAUGCAGAGAUGUGCCACUGAUUUGUACUUCUACUCCGAAUCACACAGCUUUUAUCUGGCUGGAACCAAUGCAUCGAAAAUAUGUUAUUCAUCUGAGUUACUACUUAACAUGAUAGUUUCUAGCAGAAUCAACAGUCUUAUCACUGUUUGUACUGGUGUGUAAACACUCAGGGACUGUAUCUCUUGAGCACUACUACAGAAUGUGAUAGUGAAGUGCCUGUUAUUUAGAUAUCAUUUUCUUAAUCACCAUGUUACAUGGAAAAGCUGCUCAUAGCUCAGCAAGAG
ensembl:lncRNA